rnacentral:rRNA from 1 species
GAUGAACGCUGGCGGCGUGCCUAAUACAUGCAAGUCGAGCGAACGGACGAGAAGCUUGCUUCUCUGAUGUUAGCGGCGGACGGGUGAGUAACACGUGUAUAACCUCCCUAUAAGACUGGGAUAACUUCGGGAAACCGGCGCUAAUACCGGAUAAUAUUUUGAACCGCAUGGUUCAAUAGUGAAAGACGGUCUUUCUGUCACUUAUAGAUGGAUCCGCGCUGCAUUAGCUAGUUGGUAAGGUAACGGCUUACCAAGGCAACGAUGCGUAGCCGACCUGAGAGGGGGAUAGGCCACACUGGAACUGAGACACGGUCAAGACGCCUAAGGGAGGCAGCAGUAGGGAAUCGGCCGCAAUGGGCGAAAGCCUGACGGAGCAACGCGGCGUGAGUGAUGAAGGUCUUCGGAUCGUAAAAAUCUGUUAUUAGGGAAGAACAUAUGUGGAAGUAACUGUGCACAUCUUGACGGUACCGAAUCAGAAAGCCACGGCUAACUACGUG